AGCAGUGUGGCCCAGUGGAAAGAGCCUGGGCUGGGGUGUCAGAGGACCUGGGUUCUAAUCCCAGCUCUGCCA
rfam:Ornithorhynchus anatinus chromosome 10, whole genome shotgun sequence.